rnacentral:lncRNA from 1 species
UGAGAAACAUGUUUUACUACUGCCCGAGUGGCUUGUGAGGAUUUUUGAUUGAGUAAGGCUGAGGACCUAUGUUGUGAGGAGACAUUGAUACUGAUUAUGAGACCGAGGGCCUGAGAUAUGUACUCCACGAGGUGGCUUGAUUGAUAUGAGACCGAGGGCCUAGUAAUGAUGCCACGAGGUCGUAAGGGGCCCUCCAGGAGUAUGCACACCCCUAGUGAGCGCGGGUACCCAUUUUGAUGUGAGAUUGAGCCCGAAGGGCUAGUAUUGUUCUAUGUGAUUGCCCGAGGGGCUGGUACUAUUCUGAGAUGUUUCCCGAGGGGCGGAUUUGUUUAUACUGUGCUCGAGGGGCGAGCCUUUAUGUGUUUACUUUUCAUAAUUGACUGUCAAUUACCUGCUUAAACAUUUAAAAAGGUUUUUUAUAAAACUACAUUUGAGUUAAAGAAUUCUACCUAUCUUUUACUGAAUUACUGUUUUUUAAAUGGCUUUACUGCUUCAUUAUAGGAUGCUUUGUGCCUUACGUGAUUUCUUGAUUUCAGUCUUUAUUUACAUUUGUUGCUCACUGAGUUGGAGUACUCACUUUACUUCCUGCACCCCUGUGUGCAGAUUCAGGUGUUGUGGAUCCUGCUAGUAUGAGUUGAGAGCUCCCGGCAGAUAUCGGAGUCCACAAGUUAGCUGCUUGACGUCCGCAGUCCCGUGUUUCUCCCUCUUUAUCAUUUCUAUCUCUUAUCAGACAUUUGUAAAAGUUGUAGACUUUUCAGACUUGUAUUAGGUUUUAUAGAUGCUCAUGACUAGUGACACCCCGGUUAGGGCUGUGUUGGGUUAUACUUCCAUAUUUUUAUGAUAUUAUCUGCUACUUAGUAUUAUUAAAUCAUGUUUUAGACUGUUUUCUUGAUGUUUAACUGUUUAACUUAAAAUUGGGAAUAGUUGGAUGGCCUUGUCUUUACGAGAGGAGCCAUCACGACCGGGUCCGGGUUUGGGGUCGUGACAAGUUGGUAUCAGAGCCUAGGUUACAUAGGUCUCCCAAGUCAUGAGCAGGUUUAGUAGAUUCUCGCGAAUCGGUAUGGAGACGUCUGUAUUUAUCCUCGAGAGGCUGCAAAAUCUUUAGGAAAAACUUCACAUUCUUGAAUCCUUAUCGUGCAUCCUUGAUUCAGCUUGAAAAGUAACUAUUUGAAUUCCUUCCACGCAUUUGUAUGUGCGCAUGAGCGCUCUGUAUUGGAUACGCAUCGAUGGCUUAUGAUUCCCUGAUCUAGGGGCAAGAUGUGAUCUCUGUGCAUUGAUGUUGGGCCAGUCUGAAGGACUCAAGGCCGGAUUUUUUGCCUAUGUCUUGAGCACUGAGCUGUUGAUUUCGUGAGCCCGUGUUUCUGGAUCUAUAUGUUUUGUUAAGUCCCUAUUAAAGGAGGUGAUGACUGAAUAGUUACAUGAUGAGUGUGAUGUGACUGCGAGAUGUAUUCAUGUGAUUUGGAAGCCACGAGAAGGGUAUGCUGGAGGAUAGAAGGACUAUUAGGUGCUCGAUUUUCAUCUCGAUUUGAGGUAUAGCCCCGAGUUAUGGGUGUGUGAAGAAUCUUUCCAUGUUUCUUAGUUGGGAGUGGAGUAAAUUUCAUGUUGCGGUCAGAGUUCAGACUCAGGAAGUUUAAGUGACUGCGUAAUGUUUAUGACGGUGGAAGGUAUACAGAAAUGUUAGUUUGAGACAAAGCAGGUGGGGUUAUCUCCUGCGGAUUGUUCUGAAGUUUGUAUAAUCCCUUGUGUCAUUUAUUGGAAGAUCUCUGUUACCAGGGAAAUAUAUGUUUUACAAUUUAAAUUUGGGUUGCUCAAGAAAGUAGGCUUGACUACUACGAGAGUGAAUGCUAGAUUUGUAGAAGAUAUAAAGUACCAGAUAGUCUGUGUUCCAUGAGCUUAUGAAGGAUUGAGUUUAGUCUCACUAUAGUAUUAGGGCAGCAAUAAAGUACAUGUGUUAUGAGUUAUUAUGUAUGUUUUGGUCUAUGUCUUCGAGCCAAGUGGGGGAGUCCACUAUUAAUUAGUCGAUUGCACGGUUAUGUGCUAUAUUGGUUCCAGUUUGAGGCGUGCAGGUGAAUUAGUCAUCGGCUUUAACGCCAGUUACUUCACCACCACCUAUCCAGCCAGCUAGGGGUGGAGGUCAGUCAGCUAGGGGUCGCCCCAGAGGGAGAGGUCGAUUAGGUGGCGGUCAGGCCCGUUUCUAUGCACUUUCAGGCAGACCCGAUGCUAUUGCUUCAGAUGCUGUUAUUACAGGUAUUGUUUCAGUCUGUCACAGAGAUGCCUCUAUAUUAUUUGAUCCCGAUUCCACCUUUUCUUAUGUGUCAUCAUACUUUUCUUGUUAUUUGGGUACGCACUGUGAGUUUCUUGCUUCACAUGUUCAUGUAUCUACCCCGGUGGGCGAUACUGUUGUUGUAGACCGUGUGUACUGGUCGUGUGUGGUGACUAUUAGGGGUCUGGAGACCCGUGUGGAUCUUUUAUUAUUGUGUAUGGUGGAUCUCGAUGUCAUUUUGGGCAUGGAUUGGCUAUCUCUGUGUCGUGCUACUCUGGACUGUCAUGCUAAGACAGUCAUAUUGGCUAUAUCGGUUGUGCCAUGGAUUGAGUGGCGAGGUGUGACUAAUUAUGUUCCCAGUAGAGUGAUCUCAUUCUUGAAAGACUAGCGUAUGGUUAGGAAGGGUUGUCUUUCGUAUCUAGCCUUUCUGAGGGAUGUUAGUGCUGAGACUCCCAGUAUUGAUUUUGUUCCAGUUGUGAGGGAUUUUCCCGAUGUGUUUCCUGCAGACCUACCGGGCAUGCCACCGAACAGGGAUAUUGAUUUCGGUAUUGACCUGGUACCGGGCACUCAACCCAUUUCUAUUCCGCCAUAUCGUAUGGCACCAGCGGAGUUGAAGGAAUUAAAGGAGCAACUUCAGGAACUCCUGGAUAAAGGGUUCAUUCGGCCUAGUGUGUCACCUUGGAGUGCGCCAGUUCUGUUUGUGAAGAAGAAGGAUGGCACUAUGAGAAUGUGCAUCGAUCAUAGGCAAUUGAACAAGGUAACAAUUAACAACAAGUAUCAUUUGCCUCGUAUUGAUGAUUUAUUCGACCAGCUUCAAGGAGCGAGAGUGUUCUCCAAGAUUGAUCUCCGUUCAGGUUAUCACCAGUUGAAGAUCAGGGACUUGGAUAUUCUUAAGACAGCUUUCAGGACCCGACAUGAUCAUUAUGAGUUCUUGGUGAUGUCUUUUAGGCUAACCAAUGCCCCAACAACGUUCAUGCAUUUGAUGAACAGUGUGUUUCGGCCUUAUCUUGACUCGUUUGUCAUAGUCUUCAUUGAUGAUAUUCUGGUAUAUUCACAUAGUUAGGAGGAGCACGCGGAGCAUUUGAGAAUUGUGUUGUAGAGAUUGAAAGAGGAGAAACUUUAUGCAAAAUUCUCCAAAUGUGAGUUUUGGAUCAGUUCAGUGGCUUUCUUGGGGCACGUGCUGUCCAGCGAGGGUAUUCAGGUUGAUCCGAAGAAGAUAUAGGUGGUUCAGAGUUGGCCCAGACCGUCCUCAGCCACAGAGAUUCGCAGCUUUCUUGGUUUGGCAGGCUAUUAUUGCCGCUAUGUUCAGGGAUUCUCAUCUAUCGCAUCGCCCUUGACCAAGUUAACUCAGAAGGGUGCUUCCUUUGUAUGGUCGGACGAGUGUGUGGAGAGCUUUCAGAAGCUCAAGACAGCUUUGACCACAACUCCAGUGUUAGUAUUGCCAUCAGUUUCAGGUUCAUAUGCCGUGUAUUGUGAUGCUUCGAGAGUUAGUAUUGGUUGUGUAUUGAUGCAGGAGGGUAGAGUUAUUGCUUAUGCUUCUCGUCAGUUGAAGCCCUAUGAGAAGAACUACCCCGUUCAUGAUUUUGAGUUGACUACCAUAGUUCACGCGUUAAAAAUUUGGAGGCAUUACUUGUAUAGUGUGUCUUGUGAGGUGUUUACUGAUCAUCAUAGCCUCCAGUACUUUUUCAAACAAAAAGAUCUUAAUUUGAGGCAGCGGAGAUGGUUGGAGUUGCUUAAGGAUUACGAUAUCACUAUAUUGUACCAUCCGGAAAAAGGCCAAUGUAGUGGCCGAUGCCUUGAGCUGAAAGGCGGUGAGUGUGGGGGGUUUGACAUAUAUUCCAGUUAGGGAGAGACCUCUUGCGGUUGAUGUUCAGGCUUGGCCAAUCGGUUCGUGAGGUUAGAUAUUUCGGAGCCCAGUCGGGUAUUGGCUUGUGUGGUUUCUCGGUCUUCCUUAUAUGAUCGCACCAGAAAGCGCCAGUAUGAUGAUCCGCAUUUACUUGUCCUUAAAGACAGAGUUCAGCAUGAUGAUGCCAGAGAUGUGACCAUUGGUGAUGAUGGGGUGUUGAGGAUACAGUGCCGAAUUUGUGUGCCCAAUGUGGAUGGGCUUUGGGAGUUGAUUCUAGAGGAGGCCCAUAGCUCCCGGUAUUCCAUCCAUCCAGGUGCCGCGAAUAUGUAUCGGGAUCUGAGAUAGCAUUAUUGGUGGAAGAGAAUGAAGAAAGACAUUGUAGGAUUUGUAGCUCGGUGUCUCAAUUGUCAGCAAGUGAAAUAUGAGCAUCAGAGACCAAAUGGCUUGCUUCAGUAGAUGGAUAUUCCCGAAUGGAAGUGGGAGUGGAUCAUUAUGGACUUUGUUGUUGGACUUCCACGAACUUUGAGGAAAUUCGAUGCUAUUUGGGUGAUUGUGGAUUGGCUGACCAAGUCCGCGCACUUCAUUCCUGUGUGUACUACAUAUUCUUCAGAGCGGUUGGCAGGGAUCUAUAUCCGAGAGAUUGUUCGUUUGCAUGGUGUCCCAGUUUCCAUCAUUUCAGAUAGGGGCACUCAGUUUACAUCACAGUUUUGGAGGUUUGUGCAGCGAGAUUUGGGUACUCAGGUUGAGUUGAGCAUAACUUUUCACCCUCAAAUGGACAUGCAGUCCGAUUGCACUAUUCAAAUAUUGAAGGACAUGUUACGUGCUUGUGCCAUUGAUUUCGGAGGGUCAUGAGAUCAGUUUCUACCGCUUACAGAGUUUUCUUAUAACAACAGCUACCAGUCGAGUAUUCAGAUGGCUCCAUAUGAGGCUUUGUAUUUGAGGCGGUGUAGAUCUCUAGUUGGUUGGUUCGAGCCCGGUGAGGCUAGGCUGUUGGGGACAGAUUUGGUGCAGGAUGCUUUAGAGAAGGUGAAGGUGAUUCAGGAGAGGCUUUGUACAACGCAGUCGAGGAAAAAGAGUUAUGCUGAUAGGAAGGUUCGAGAUGUGUCAUACAUGGUUGGCGAGAAGGUUCUGUUGAAGGUUUCGCCCAAGAAGGGUGUUAUGAGGUUUAGGAAGAAAAGGAAAUUGAUUCCCCGAUUCAUUAGGCCUUUUGAGGUUUUUCGGAGGAUUGGGGAGGUGGCUUAUGAGCUUGCCACCUAGCUUAUCGAGUGUGUAUCCGGUAUUUCAUGUUUCUAUGCUCCGAAAGUAUGUUGGAGAUCCGUCUCAUGUUUUGGAUUUCAACACGGUUUAGUUGGAUGAUGAUUUGACUUAUAAUGUGGAGCCAGUAGCUAUUUUGGGUCGUCAGGUUCGAAAGUUGAGGUCGAAGAAUAUAGCUUCAGUGAAAGUGUAGUGGAGAGGUCGGCCAGUGGAGGAGGCUACCUGGGAGACCGUGCGGGAGAUACGGAGAAGAUAUCCUCACCUGUUUGAGGCUUCAGGUACGUUUCUUGACUCGUUCGAGGACGAACGUUUAUUUAAGUUGGGAGGAUGUGACGACCCAGCCAGUUGUCUCAUGAGUUACCGCUCUGUUUUCCCCAUUUCUGCUUCCUUAUGCUUUGUUUAUCUAUGGUAUGUGACAUCGUGAUGGUCGGAUCGAAUCCGAAAUGAUUUUGGUAAGGUUUGAGAUACUUAGUCUCUUUUAAGGAAGUUUAAGUUGGAAAAGUCAACUGGAUGUUGACUUAUGUGUUAGAUGGCUCGGAUGUGAGUUCUGAUGGUUUGGUUAGCUUCGGGAGGCGAUUUAUGACUUAGGAGCGUGAUCGGAAUGAAUUUUGGAGGUUCGUAGUAGAUUUAGGCUUGAAUUGGCGAAGUUGACAUUUUGAUGAUUUCUGGUUGGCAGGCGAGAUUUUGAUAUAGGGAUCAAAAUAGAAUUCUGAGAGUUGAAUAGUUCCGUUGAGUCAUUUGGGAUGUGUUCGCAACAUUUCAGGUUAUUCGGACGUGCUUUGGUUGGGUUUUUGAUCGAAAGCGGAAUUUGGAAGAAUUUAGAAAAUUUGGCUUUAAUCCGAUGUGUUUUGGUUGAUUUGAUGUUGUUUGAGGUGUUUUGAAGAUUGGUACAAGUUUGAAUAAGGUAUUAGGAUAUGUUUGUGCUUUUGGUUGAGGUCCCGAGGGUCUUAAGGUGAUUUCGGGUGGUUGACGGAGAAGUUUGGAUUUUGUUGCAGUUGUUGAACUGUUGCUGCUUUUGGUAUUUCUGCACCUGCGGAUUGGGGACCGCAGGUGCGACACCACAUAUGCGAGAGACGAGUCGUAGAAGCAGAUUUUUAAGGAGUUUUCAGGGACCACAGAUGUGGCUGGGGACCGCACCUGCGAAGUCGCAGAUGCAGGAAAAGUAUAACAGAAGGGAAAAUGGCCUGAUGACCAACGACCGCAGAAGCGACUACAGUGACCGUAUCUGUGAUGUCGCAGAUGCGGAAGUGUGAUCGCAGAUGCAAUAAUUGGUCGAAUAAGUGAUUUUCGGAGAAGCGGAUGAUAAACCACAAAUGCGGUACCACAGAAGCGGUUAAAGGGCCGCAUAUGCGAAAAUGUCUGGGCAGAAAGUAUAAAUUGUGGCCAUCGCGAAUUUUGAGCUAUUUCACCAUUUUUAUCUCGGCUUUGGAGCUUUUUGGACGAUUUGAAAGAGGGAUUCAAGGGAACUUCAUUGAGAUAAGGAAUUGGGACCUAAAACUCAUUCCUAUACUAUUAUUUCACGGAUUAAACCUAGAAAUCAUGGAAAUUAAGGGUGAAAAUUGGGGAAACUAGGGCUUGGAAACUUAGACCUUUAAUUGAGGAUUUGAAGGAACAUUCGGGGUUGGAUUUGAGAACUUUUGAUAUGUAUGAACUCGUGGGGAGAUAAGGAAUCUAAUGAUGUAAAAAUUAUUGAAUUCCGAGACGUGGGCCCGGGGGUUGGGUUUUGGUAAUUUUGGGAUUUGUGUCGUAUUUUGAUUAUUUUCGCUUGGGCUUCGUUCCCUUAGCAUUUUGUCGUCCUCGUUCUGAUUUUGGAUCGAUUCGAUGCGAGUGGAGGCCGAUUUGAGGGGCAAAGGUAUCGCGAGCUAGAGAUUUGACCGGUUCGAGGUGAGUAAUGAUUGUAAAUGAUGAUCUGAGGGUUUGAAACCCCGGAUUGCACAUCGUAGUGCUAUAUUGAUAUGAGACACACGCUUGAUGACGAGCGUGUGGGCGUGCACUAUUGGGAAUUGUGACUUGAUCCGUCCCGAUUGAUGAUUUUACCGCAUAUUUGACUAAAAUCUGUUUGUUAUCAUCAUUAUUUGGGCUGAAUGCCAUAUUUGGGCUUCGUGCUAACUAUUUGUACCCUUCAGGGAUUUUUACUGGUAUUUCCUCACUGUUUUGACUUUAUACUUGAUCUCAGUCAUAUUAUAUUUCACUAUUUUUCAUAUUCAGCCAGGUUUACUCUGUUAUUACACUUAUAUGAUCUCUUAAAUGAUAUUUUGGGUUUAGAAAGAUGUUUUACUACUGCCCGAGUGGCUUGUGAGGAUUUUUGAGUGAGUAAGGCCGAGGGCCUAUGUUGUGAGGAAAUAUUUGAUACUGAUUAUGAGGCCGAGGGCCUGAGAUAUGUACGCCACGAGGUGGAUUGAUUGAUAUGAGGUCGAGGGCCUAGUGAUGAUGCCACGGGGUGGCUUGAUAUUGCGCUUGGGUCGUAAGGGGCCCCUCCUGGAGUCUGCACACCCUCAGUGAGCGCGGGUACCCAUUGUGAUGUGAGAUUGAGCCCGAAGAGCUAGUAUUAUUCUAUGUGAUUGCCCGAGGGGCUGGUACUGUUCUGAGAUAUUGCCCGAGGGGCGGAUUUGUUGAUACUGUGCCUGAGGGGCGAGUCUUUAUGUGUUUACUUUUCAUAAUUGACUAUCAAUUACAUGCUUAAACAUUUAAAAAGGUUUUUCAUGAAACUAAAUUUGAGUUAAAGAAUUCUACCUAUCUUUCACUGAAUUACUGUUUUUUAAAUGGUUUNNNNNNNNNNNNNNNNNNNNNNNNNNNNNNNNNNNNNNNNNNNNNNNNNNNNNNNNNNNNNNNNNNNNNNNNNNNNNNNNNNNNNNNNNNNNNNNNNNNNNNNNNNNNNNNNNNNNNNNNNNNNNNNNNNNNNNNNNNNNNNNNNNNNNNNNNNNNNNNNNNNNNNNNNNNNNNNNNNNNNNNNNNNNNNNNNNNNNNNNNNNNNNNNNNNNNNNNNNNNNNNNNNNNNNNNNNNNNNNNNNNNNNNNNNNNNNNNNNNNNNNNNNNNNNNNNNNNNNNNNNNNNNNNNNNNNNNNNNNNNNNNNNNNNNNNNNNNNNNNNNNNNNNNNNNNNNNNNNNNNNNNNNNNNNNNNNNNNNNNNNNNNNNNNNNNNNNNNNNNNNNNNNNNNNNNNNNNNNNNNNNNNNNNNNNNNNNNNNNNNNNNNNNNNNNNNNNNNNNNNNNNNNNNNNNNNNNNNNNNNNNNNNNNNNNNNNNNNNNNNNNNNNNNNNNNNNNNNNNNNNNNNNNNNNNNNNNNNNNNNNNNNNNNNNNNNNNNNNNNNNNNNNNNNNNNNNNNNNNNNNNNNNNNNNNNNNNNNNNNNNNNNNNNNNNNNNNNNNNNNNNNNNNNNNNNNNNNNNNNNNNNNNNNNNNNNNNNNNNNNNNNNNNNNNNNUUGAGAGCUCCCGGCAGAUAUCGGAGUCCACAAGGUAGCUGCUUGACGUCCGCAGUCCCGUGUUUCUCCCUCUUUAUCAUUUCUAUCUCUUAUCAGACAUUUGUAAAAGUUGUAGACUUUUCAGACUUAUAUUAGGUUUUAUAGAUGCUCAUGACUAGUGACACCCCGGUUAGGGCUGUGUUGGGUUGUCCGCAUUUUUUAUGAUAUUAUCUGCUACUUAGUAUUAUUAAAUCAUGUUUUAGACUGUUUUCUUGUUGUUUAACUGUUUAACUUAGAAUUGGGAAUAGUUGGUUGGCCUUGUAUUCACGACAAGCGCCAUCACAAUCGGGUCGGGAUUUGGGAUCGUGACAGGAGAGGACAUUUUAUAUCUAAAAUGUAAUACAAAAUCAUCUACACAUAUACAUAUAAUAAUGUGCAUGUGCGCGUAUUUAUAUGUACAUGUUCGAAUAUAUUACAUUGUUUAUCAUGCACAAAAAAUAUCAAUAACUUUUAUAUUGAAGAAAAGUUAUCACUGGGAACGACUUUAGAAACGAGAGGUAAAUGCAUUGCAUCGACUCAACCAAUAUAAAAUAUAUAAAUUUUGAAGAAACAUGAUUGGAGAAGCAAAAUAAACUGGUUGUGAGCACGUGAUUUUUGUCUUGCGCGACAAUCGCUCCAAAAGAAAAAUAAAUAAAUAAAAAAAAUAAUAAUAACAAAUAGGUCCUGCGGUACAAAUUUGGAUUUUUAUAUGGCACUUUAUUAAUUAUUUACGAUUUUUGCCCAUUUUUGUUAAAACAAAAUACAAAAUGUAUGUGUCGUGCGUAAUUUGAACCGUAGUCCGGUUGUUAAAUAGGAAAUCACAAAAAUACGCAUUUCUUUUGUCCUGAUUUGUUGCCUUGUUUGAUUUUACCUACUUUUAACAUUUUAUACGCAUGAAAUAAAUAUGUUAAGUGCUUAAUUAAGGGUAUCUAGUUUUAUUUAAUUAGGUUGUGUAUUUAGGAAAUUAGAAAUAAAGAAAAAAGGGGGAAAAUUUGUUUUAAAACGAAAUUGGGCUACAAAUAUUUAAAAUCUGAAGCCCAAAUUGAAUGGCCCAAUCCACCAGUCCGCACAGCCCACUCCCCAGGCAGCAAAACGACGUAGUUUAAAACCAAAACUACGUCGUUUCAGUGCCAAUUCAUCUCAACCAUUCAAACCGAGCUGAUCCAACGGUCCGGAUCUCUCACCCAUAACCCCAUUUGCCCGACCCGUUACCCGAACCAACUCUGACCCCAACACCUGAAACGACACCGUUCCACUUAAACCCUCAGAUCCAGACCGUAGAUCUAGAUUGAUCUAACGGUUAAGAUCAAGCCUUCCACCCCAUAUAUAAACCCUUCCCCCUUCACCCCGCGCCCUAAUCCAAACCCCCCUGCCUUAGGUCGUCUUCACCAGACCCCGACCCUCCAAACCCUAGCCGCCCCUGCACACCUUCGCCAUGAAAGCCGGCGACAUGGACGCCGGUGGCCUUCCCCUUAACACCAUAGGACCCCCUUGUCAUCCUGAACCUGGAUCUGUUAACCACCUAGUUCGAAUCCCUUCCCACCUUCUCGAAUCUUCAUUUGAAGAUUCGAGUCAGAACCUGACUCGUACCGUUUGACCCCAGUCUCACACCAGACACUCCCCAGACCCCCCUCGUGACCAAACCAUGCUUGGUUUGGUCCGAAUCUGACCAGGGAAGCAUGAAUCCCGGAUCUAGUUUUCGAACCUUAGGGUUCCUCGUCACUGGUCCGUGUCUUGUUCGAGCCAAAGAAAUUAAGGUCUAAUGGACCUUAAUCGAGGUGUUUCUCAUCUGAGAAACACUUCGAUUAAAGUCCGUUCAGCCUUAAGAAAGGUUUGUCCGAGUCCGAGUUAAGGUUUUGAUCUUUUGAGGUUUAAGGUGAGUUCUUUCUUUUCUUAUUUGUUUUGGUUCAUCUGAUUGUUGUAAGGGUCUGUUCAUGUUCUGUUUAUGUCCUUGACUUUUAUCAACUGUGCCUUGACCACUUUGCCUGAACCUCUGUUGUUUAAUCGAGUCUUUCCAUUUGUUCUGAUAAUGUGUAUGUAAGUGUUGUGCAAUUAGUUGAUUUUCAAAUUUGGACUGACUAAUUGACUCCUCGAGUGCAAUUCUGCUUAGUCAAUAUAAUGCGAACCUUGUGUGAUACUGUUAAAUGUCGGAUUUUUGGCUACGAUUGUAUGUGUUAUAACUAAUAUAGUCGAGUCGACAUGUGUCGUCAAUUAGUUUCAGUUAUCCGAGCAAUAACAAAUCGAUUUGCUUCUGUUGAACAUUGCCUGAAUCAAUUAAGAACUAAGUUCAGUUUACUUAUAAUCGCUAAUUUGAUUUCAGAAAUCUAAGGUGUAGGCUGUAAUGGUAAUCUAAACUGGAGGGCAUGUGCACAACAUGGGCAUAAAGGCCCUUUUGAAUUAAAUAGUUUGACAGCAUGUGCUGUCAGACUACCUCAUGCUGCCCAUAUCUGCUUUUAGUUAAUAAAAUGGGAAAGUUAAACCUGCCAAGGGAAUGAUGGGGUUUAAUACUUAAAUAGCUAAAGUAGAACUGAAAAGAAGAUGGGCACAUGGGAGGGGUUUCUUUUAAUCUAUCAGGCUGUAAAAGGAGUAAUGUGAAGGCUUAUAAAAGGGGGGACAUACAGAGAUAAAAAGAGGACCGGGGAGAUAAAGGAAGGGGGCUGAAAAUACAUACAGAUAUAUACAUACAGACAUAGAGGGUGAGAGAGGAUAGAGAAAAAAAAGAAAAGAGAAUACCACCUGAUAUUAAAGAGGAUACAGAAUAGGGGGGAACAAGGAGGACAUAUAAAGAGGGGCACACUGUGAGGAUAUAAGAGAAAAAGAGGAGAUCUGAUAAAAAAAAAGAUAGAUAGAGAGCAUAGAGAUAGACAGAGGGAAAUUGUAACACUGAGAGAGGGGAUUGAGACUGAAUACAUUUUGAGAACUGAAGUUAGAAAGGACAGAAAACUGGAAAAGAAUUCUCUUUGAUAACUCAGACAGACAAAACUAGAAAGUGCAUUCUUUCCUGUUGUCUUGAUUUCACUGAAUCUGAACCUGUUUGUGCAACACUGAUUUCUCCCAAAUCCCAACUGAGUCUGCUUGGUUGUCGUGUGUUCUACUCAAGAAUUUGGUCUAGUUGGGGUAUUGAUCCCACUCCAAUUUGUUUUGUGAGUUGUUGCUGCUGCUAUUCUGUCCUGCUGCUACUGCUAAUCUUGUUUCCUGCUGCUGCUGAUUUCCCCAUCUUCUUCCUCUUCUCCUUUGCAUUUUCAGUGUUUCCAGGUACACAUUUCGAGUCCCACUUUGGUGUUAACUGUAAUAGUUCAAAAGCAUGAAAUGAAAGGAGUUUUUGAAGAAAAUUUAGAUGUCUGUUUUAUAAUGCUCAUGGUAUAUUGACUUCUUUUGUAUAAAUUGAUUAGUGUGUGAUUCAGUAGUGAAAGAUUAGUUAGACAAUACUUGAUCAAGUUUUAGCCUCUUGCAUCUUAGUUUAUAGUUGUUUGCUAGUACAAGAUGUAAUGGUACAAUAUAUAGAAGGCAUGGAUAAUUGGUAUAGAGUUUUCGACUGGAUUUCCGUUUAACUAAUGACAUGCAUAGAAUAGAAUAUUUCCACCUUACACAAUAAUGUGCCGUGUAGUUUUUAGUUCUUUUAUCAGGACCGCUAGGCAACAUAUAGGAACACGUUCGAAUCCCCAUUAGUGAUAAUGCCUAGUGUUCAAUUUCCUUAAUCUAGCCUAAUUAAGCCUAGUCAAGUUCGAUUCGAGAAAUGUUCGUAUUAAGUAUUGCAUUCCAUCCAUUUCACAUAUAACUUCUUUGCUCAAUCAAAGUAUUUCGUAAGGUACGACGUCUUUCACCUUAUAGAUAAUUAGAAAUUGAUAGGAAUCCGGUCUAGGCCAAAGCAUAUACUUCAAUUAGCAUACAUCUUUCUUUCUUUCAUUUCUGGAAACAAAAAAAAAAUAUAAUAAGAAAUGUAGUCAAUAUAGGUUUAUCCUUUUAAAAAUAAUGAGAUGAGCCUCGCCAAAUAAAAAUGUAAAUUGUGGGGCCCUCAACAGCUAAUCACAAUAUUUAGAAUUUGGGAUGGACUGUUUAGUGAAUUCCACUGCCUUCCCCAAAGAUAAUAACGCGUUAGAUUCUUUAGGCGCGACUUAAUUAAAUUACAUUUUUAAAUUUGGGUGCGCAUUUAUGUGACCCAAAUUCAAAUCUCAACGGNNNNNNNNNNNNNNNNNNNNNNNNNNNNNNNNNNNNNNNNNNNNNNNNNNNNNNNNNNNNNNNNNNNNNNNNNNNNNNNNNNNNNNNNNNNNNNNNNNNNNNNNNNNNNNNNNNNNNNNNNNNNNNNNNNNNNNNNNNNNNNNNNNNNNNNNNNNNNNNNNNNNNNNNNNNNNNNNNNNNNNNNNNNNNNNNNNGCACAUAAGUCACAACAUGUAUCUAAAUCAGAUAUUUAGCCAUUAUAACAAUUUAAGCGACCGUGCUAGAACCACGGGAUUCGAGGGUGCCUAACACCUUCCCUCGAGUCAACAGAAUUCCUUACUUAGAAUUUCUGGUUCGCAGACUUCAUUUGGAAAAGUCGAAAAUUUCCUCGAUUUGGGAUUCAAGAUAAACCGGUGACUUGGGACACCAGAAACCAAACCUUUCCCAAGUGGCGACUCUGAAUUAAAUAAAUAAUCCUGUUUCGAAUAUUGUCACUUAAAUUGGAAAAAAUCCACCCGCGCAUCUUACCCUUCGGAGCCGGGCGCGCCAAAAGGAGGUGUGACACUGGUUACCAAAUAUUUUACUAACUAGAGUAUGAAAAGGGAGGUAUAUUUAGUGCAAUAGCUUAUAGAUUGACUUUCUUUAGUUUUCUUACAUUUUAGAAAAUAUUAGUAGUUAAUAUUAAAAAAAAAUUCUAUGUGAAUUUGGGAUAUAUUUAUAAUAUAUUAUCAUCAUCAUAUAUUCAUAAGUUGCAAAACAUUCUUGAAUGCAUCUUUUGUUAUCCUAUAAGUGAUUCGACGAUUCAUCAUAUUCAUCAUUCACAGAAAUUUGUGUUUUAUUCUUCUAAAAAUAUUUACUUACUCAAAGACUUAUUUUAAUAAUAUUAUUGUUAUUAUACAAAAAUUAUAUAUUUUUACAUGGCUCUUGGCAUACACGUGCAAUGCAUGUGUCGAAAAACUAGUUAUAUUAAAAGAAUGAAAGCCUUUCGUGAAAUGUCGUUCGCCUUUUUUAUUAUUUAAAAAUAAAUAUUACAUUAGAUAAAGUUGUAAUUAAAAUUUACUUUCCUAAUAUUUAGGAUUUUGAAAUCAAUUGAGAUUUUAGUUGUUAAAUAUCUCUUUAUUCAACAAGGAAGGAAGUCCUGAUAUUUAGAAUUUUAAGUCAAUCAAGAUUUUAUAUAUUACAAAUCCUUCCUUGAAAAUUUGGUUUUCCAAAUACGAGAGAAAGAAAAAUAUGAUUGAUCCAAAUUAUAAUAAUUUAUUGUAAAAUUGAAGUUCGAUGUAAUUUAUUUUGCUGAUCAAAUCUCAAUUAUUAAUUGAUUCAAUGUAAUUCAACUAAAAUAUUGCAUAUUAAAUUAUUUACUUAUUUAAAACUUAUAAUGAGCUAAUAUUAACAAUUUGAAUCAACAAAAAAAUCAUCAUAAUAGUAUUUUGGUUGUAUGUAUAUUAUAAUUACAGUUGAAUAUAACAACUAUAAUUAUUCAAAAAAUAUUACCGUAUGUACGAAGUCUUAAUAUUUAAAAAUUUAAAAAUAAUAUAAUAUGGAUAAUUAGUAUAUUUUUGUUUUCGAUGAGGACCAUAUCGGAAGGUUUCUUUUCCUUUCCACAAAUAGGCUUUCCCAACGACAGAAGGGAUUCUUACUUGUUUUUGCAUGAUUCGUAAUAGGAGUGACAAAUACAUGAUUUACAUCAAAAUCUUAAAUAAUAAUUUAUUCAAAGUUUACGUUAUAAUUUUAACCAAUACAAAUUGUAACUUUAUUUAGUAAAUCGGAUUGUAAUAGUCUAUGAAUCUUCACUAAAUUUUAACACAAAAAUAAUAAAUUUUAGUUACAUGUAAUUUAUUAGAUCGUCUUUAAUAUGAAAUAAAAAAUUAUCAUUAAAGAAAAAUCUUUAUAGAAUAAUGAAGGUGGCAAUUACACCCAAAGAAAAAAACUACUAACAUUUAAUUUACACCCAAAGUAAUCAUAGGCUACUUUCUUCCGUUCUUUAAUUUAUAUUAAAAUAUAUAUACACUGUUUAAUAUUAUAGUUAAAUAAUUUUAAAAAUUAUAUAUUUAUUGAAUUAGGGUUCACGCGCAAAGCGUGUACCCUAAGACUAGCAACUAAAAAAAUUCAGCAUUUUAUAAGAUUUUAAUAGACCAAUCAAAUUAUUCCAAUUAAGUAAUGAUAAUUAAGACAAACUUUAAGGUACUAGUUAAUGAUAAAUUUGACUAUACAAUGAUGUCAAUAUUCCAUAGACGAAUUUACAGGACUUCAAUCAAUAUGAAUAUCUAGAUGAUCAUUCAUUUUUGUCCCUUUUAAAUAAGAUGAUUACAUCUUUGAUCUAAAUUUGUGACAUUAUGGUUAUAGUAGUUUUAGCCUUUACUAGAAUAAGGACAUGGUUCAAAUCUCUCUAACCCCUUAAUAUUAGUUAUAACUUGAGAUGAGUAAAUGUAUGUAGGAAAUAUUGGGUCCACCCAUAAGGGAUGUUCUAAGGCCCAAUAGGGUUAUUAGUUAACCCUAAUAUUCCCUAUAUAAGUACACUUAGUGUAUCCACUAAAAAAAUACAUUAAACAGUAUUUUUCCACGCACACUCUCUCUCAAUCCAAACAAGGGUUUAGACUAUGGAAUUGGGGUUGCUUCAACACAUCGUGACAACCACCGUCAACCAGUAAUUCCAGUUGCGGUUCAAUCCGUUUUCGCUUCUGCGUCACGAAGAACAAGUAAGUUCUCGUUUUACAGUUUACACGAUAUCUAAUGUGUUUAGAUCAUCGCGUUUUCCUUUAUUGGUAUCAGAGCCAUAGGCUGGUUUUCUUGUUCGAAAAAAAUUAAUAAUAUUAGAAUAGUUCUAUUACUCUGUGUAAAUCUGGAACUACGUGUAUAUAUAUUUUCUGAAUGUUUCUCUACGCGAUUGGGAACAAUUAAUGAGUUUAACUCUCUCUUCUUUUUUUUCAUCCGAUAAAUAUUUUGAAUUAGUCUUCAAAAUUGAUGGAUGAUAAUAGUUUUUUUUUUUAAAAUUACUUUUCAAAACUGAUCAUGUGGAUUCCAGUGGCUAUUUGUACACUCACAAACUUGUAUCACUACAUUAAUUGUUGUAAUUUGCAACAGCUUUGUGGAUAGCUUUGUGGCUAUUUACACACUUUUUUUGAAACUGAUUUGUUUUUCAAAAAAAAAAAGGUAGAAGCUUGGUGCUUCAAUGGAAGGUGGCAGCCAAAAGAGUUGAAGAAAAAGUUGAGAAGAAACUUAAGGUUUCUCUCUCCUUAAAAUCUGAUCUAAUAGUUAAAAUAAGAGUAAAAACGCUUUUUUUUGGCUGCCAUUUACAGAAGCUAGGGCUUCCUUUUUCUUGAUGGGCUAAAGACCCACUGAGAGUUGGUUAAAAAGGAAUAUCAAUUGUGUGGGGUAGUCACUUUUUAAAGUGGUAUUUACUUUUUAUCCAGUAUUUUUAAUGCUUAGUAAUAGUAGUCACUAGUCUAUUAAAAUUAAUAUGAAAAAACUAUGUUACCCUUUUUUCUAUCUCUUUCAUAUUAGGGAGAAGAACUCCGUGAGACGGUGACUGCACAGAGAAGGAAACUGAGGAUUUGUUUGGAAAGAAAUUCAAGAUUCAGAGGACCAAACAAGGAGGACAAGUGUAGUAAACGACCAAGACGCAACUACCUCAAGAAUGGACUUAUUGAAUAUUGAUGGGUAACAUUUAAUUGGGAAGAAACUAAUAAGGGCAGACAAAAGUUGAAUAAGACGAAUGAAUAUUCUAUCGUCAAAUAAUAUAUAUAUAUAUUUUUUUGUGAAAAGAUACAAAUAACGUUUGGUUUUCUGCUAUGUUAUGGAUCCUGAACUUACAGUUAUAAGUUCAAAAGUUAAGGACACUUGAUCCUGAAAUUCAAAUUCAAAACUUAAAGACACUUGGUCCUGAACUUAGAAUUACAAGUUCAAAAGUUAAGGACAAUAGGUCCUGAACUUACAGUUACAAGUUCAAAAAUUAAGGACAAUAGGUCCUGAAGUCCUGAACUUAGACUAACAAGCUCAAAAGUUAAGGACAAUAGGUACUGAACUUAGGCUAAGAAGCCCAAAAGUUAAGGACAAUAGGUCCUGAACUUAGGCAAAGAAGCCCAAAAGUUAAGGACAAUAGGUUCUGAACUUAGACUAACAAGCUCAAAAGUUAAGGACACUUGGUCCUGAACUUACAGUUGCAAGUUCAAAAGUUAAAGACAUGUAGUCCUGAAGUCCUGAAGUUAAGUUAAAAAAUUAAGGACAUGUAAUCCUGAUGUCCUGAACUUAGAGUUCCAAGUUCAAAAGUUAAGGACAUGUAGUCCUGAACUUAGAGUUACAAGUACAAAAGUUAAGGGCAUGUAGUCCUGAAGUUAAGUUCAAAAGUUAAGGACAUGAGUAGAAGGAUAUUUUCGUCUGGACAUUUAAAGUUUAUUAAAGCAGUGGCUAUAGACUAAAGAUAUUUUAAACAGUGGCUUAAAAGUAAAUAUAUGUGUUAUUAGUGGCUAAUUAAUUAGUUUAAUAUUAAUAUUACUUGUUAAUUUGUUUAACAUGUAUGAUAUGUUAAUUAGUUUAACUUUAAAGAAAAAAUUACAUGAAUUUGUAUAGCAUGCAUUAAAUGUUAAUUAGUUUGACAUUAAUUUAAUUUGCAUGCUAAUAUUAGUUAUUAGUUAAGUUAUGAACCACAUGAGAUUGUAAAAUCUAUUAACAAUGUCAUGAAUGAGCCUGAGGAAGACAACACUACUCAGCAUAGGCAUGAGCGUGAAGCCUAUGACAGUUGGAAGAAAAAGAACUCCAUUACUCGCAUUACGUUAUUGAGCACCUUAGAUGAUGACAUCUUAAGAGAGUUUAAGGAUCACCAAAGAGCCAUAGAUCUUUAGAAUGCUUUGAGGAAAAGGUUUGGUACAUGUUCCACUGCAAGGCUGCAAUCUUUAACGAUCAAAUUUGAUUCAUAUAAAAAACACCCAGAACAUUCAAUAAAAGCACAUCUGAGGCAAAUGACAAAUAUGAUCGGGGAGUUGAAAAAUGUUGGUCAUGUGUUGGCUGAUGAACAAUAAAUCCAAGUUGUCAUACGCUCUUUACCUAGUUCUUGGGAUCAUAUGAAAAUGCAUUUGACCCAUAUAAGCGAAUCACAACUCAGGAAGAUGUCCGGAGGCAUCUUGAGUUAGAGGAGGAACGACUUGAGGCUACAAAGCCAAUAGCUGAGUUGCACAUGACAACAACCUUCAAAACCAAGAGUGAUUCAAAGAAAAGAAACUGGGGAAAGAAGAGAGGGUCACCUCAAGCUAAGCCAGCUCAGCAUGCAAAAAGGGCAAAGACUGAAAAAGGCAAGAAUAGACGUCCCAAACGUGUCAAAGUUGCUAAAGUGAAAUGCUAUAAUUGUGACAAAAAGGGUCACUAUGCCAGAGAUUGCUCUGAGCCUCCUAGAAAGGUAUUUCACGAUGCUCGAAUUAGUGAACUUUAUGUUUCUAGUUCUUUUUUUCUAACUAAAUCUAAUCCCUUGUGGAUUGUAGACUCAGGAGCAAUGGACCACAUAGCCUGGGAACGCAGUGCCUUUGUUGAAUUUCAGCGAGUUCCACAUGGAGCAAAGUGGAUAUAUAUGGGCAAUAACAAUACAGUUGUUGUUGAAGGGAUCAGUACAUGCAAGUUACUCCUGUGUGGUGGUCGAGACCUAAUACUACAUGAUGUUCUCUUUGCCCCAACAAUUCGCUGGAAUGUUAUUUUAGUUUCAGUUUUGAUUAAGCUAGGAUUUGACUUGUUUUGUCAUGGCAAUUCUGCCAAGUUGACUUUUGGUUCACCUUUAUUUGAUUUGGGUCAUGUGACCGGAGGUUUAAUUAUUAUGAAUUUGGAUUAUAAUUCAUUUAAUAAUAAUGCUAGUUUUUCUAUGUUUGUUUCUUCACAUAAAUAUGAUAGUGAUGUAAACAUAUGGCAUGCUAGACUUGAUCAUAUUGGCCAACAAAAAAUGCAAAGGUUAGCAAAAUAAGGUUUGCUUUCCAGCAUUGAACAUGUGAAAUUGUCCACUUGUGAAAAUUGUCUAGCUGGAAAAUCUGCAAGAAAACCUUUUGUUCAGGCAACUAGAGCCGAAUAUCCUUUACAAUUAGUCCAUUCGGACAUCUGUGGGCCUAUGAAUGUUAGGGUCAUCAUAUUUAUUGAUGAUUUUACCCGUUUCAGUUAUCUCUAUUUGAUUUCAAACAAAUCAGAAGCAAUAAGUUUCUUUAAACGCUAUAUGAGCUUAGUGGAAAAUCAAUUAGACAAGAAGAUAAAAGCUCUUCGAACUGAUCGUGGUCGUGAAUACUUAUCAACCCAGUUUAAUAAUUUAUGUGAUGAAAAGGGAAUAAUUCAUCAGUUGACUAUCCCAAAUACUCCAUAAUAAAAUGAUAUUGCGAAGAAAAGAAACAGAACGCUCCUUGAAAUGGUUAGGUCAAUGAUGGCACAAGCUAACCUCCCAAUUAGUUACUGGGGUGAUACGUUUCUUACUGCCACAUUUGUACUUAACCGAGUGCCUAUAAAAUUAAUUACUACUACUCCAUAUGAGUUAUGUAUUGGAAGACAACCCGACCUAAGUGCAUUAAGACCUUAGGGUUAUGCUGCCUAUACACAUGAUUCCUCUCACAAAUAUGGAAAAUUGGGCCUAAGGGGAAAGAAAAGUGUCUUUGUAAGAUACUCUGAAACCUCAAAGGGUUAUGUGUUUAUAGGUCAGCAAGACAUUGGGAGUGUAACUGAGUUUGAGUCACGAAAUGUCAUAAUCUUAGAGGAUGAUUUUCAUAAGAAGGGAGAGGUAGGUCAAGACCUAACCUUAUUUGAGAUAAUGGAUCAAUAAGUACAAGGAUCACUUCAUUGGAAGAAUUUUAGCAGAUGAAUUAGUUUCUCAUUGAAGACCUCCUUUAUCAUCAAAUGCAAAUGAAAGUAAUCCUUCCACAUUUAGUGAAAGUGACCAAAUGGAUCUUGUUCCAAGUGGGAGCGAGAUGGUUACAUAUCUUGUUCCAAGUGGGAGCAGGAUGAAUGAUUUUGAUCCGAGUGGGAGCAACAUUUAUCCAAAUGGAAAUAAUGAUGAAUCACAAAUAAGACAUGGUUCUCGUAAAAAGAUUCCCCGCCGACGAUUUGAUGUUGAAAGUAGUGAACUAUUUAUGAUGUUCCUACAAGAAGAAAACGAGCCUAAAAAUGUAAAAGAGGCUCUCUCAUGCCCUUCUAAGGAUAAAUAGACAAAAGCAAUGGAAGAUGAAUUGAAGUCUAUGAGAGUCAACAAUGUUUGGGAACUAGUUGACUUCCCUAAAGGACGCAAAGCAAUUGGUAGCAAAUGGGUUCUCAAAAUUAAGCUCAAGGCUGAUGGCAUAGUUGAGAGAUAUAAGGCUCGACUGGUGGCAAAAAGGGUAUACACAGCAAAAAGGAAUAUACUACGGAGAGACUUUCUCUACGAUUUUCCUUGGUUCGCAUGGUUCUAGCUAUUGCUGUAAGCUUGGAUCUUGAAUUACAUCAGAUGGAUGUAAAGACUGUUUUUCUCAAUAGAGAACUAGAUGAAGAAAUCUAUAUGGAACAACCUGAGUGUUUUAUUGAAAAAGGUCACGAACAAAAGGUUUGUAGACUUUUGAAUUCUAUUUAUGGCCUCAAACAAUCUUCAAGAUAGUGGUAUAUAUGCUUUUAGAAUGUUCUUGUAUCCAAUAGUUCUACCAUGAUGGAUGAAGACCGUUGCAUUUAUACUAAGAGAUCAAGAAACAAGCUUAUGAUUUUAACAUUGUAUGUAGAUGACAUACUUAUAGCUGGAAAUGAUAAAGAGUUUAUAACCGAGAUAAAUUCAUGGUUGUCAUCGCAAUUUGAGAUGAAAGAUAUGGGUGAAGCUGCAUAUAUUCUUGGAGUUAAGAUUUCAAGAGAUCGUCCAAAGAAACUAUUGUAUCUCUCACAAGAGAAUUACAUUAAAAAAGUUAUUGAACGAUUCAACAUGCAAAAUAGUAGCCCAGUUGAAACUCCUAUCAGUAAAGGCCAUACCUUGGGAAGUCAGAUGUGUCCUAAGACUCCUGAAGAGACAGAAAGAAUGAGCCGAGUUCCUUAUAUGAGCGCAGUCGGAAGUCUAAUGUACGCUAUGGUGUGCACUAGACCUGAUAUCUGUCAAGCAGUUGGCUUGGUAAGUAGAUAUCAAACCGACCCAAGUUUAGCACAUUGGCAAAGCAAUAAAGAGGAUCAUGAAAUAUCUGAAGGGAACUGCUAUUUAUGCCCUUUGUUAUCAAGGUGACAAGGAUAUGCGAUUAGUUGGAUACAGUAAUGUUGAUCAUGGAGGAGAUCUAGAUGAGAGGAAGUCUACACCAGGAUAUGUUUUCUUACUCAGUAAUAGUGCCAUAUCAUGGAAUAGUAAGAAACAAUCAUGUGUAUUACUAUCUACGAUGGAAGCCGAAUACGUGGCUUUCGCAUCAGCAGCACAAGAAACUGUUUGGUUGAAAAAGUUCUUGGAGCACUUGUUGGAUAUCACUGAAAAUACUACACCAAUAUUAGUCUACCGUGACACUGAGGCUGCAAUAUCCUCCACCAAGGACCCAAAGUUUCAUUGUAAAACCAAACAUAUAGAUGUCAAGUAUAACUAUAUGAGAGACAUGGUUAUACGCAAGGUAGUGAAUGUGAAGUAUGUGUCUACAAAAGAUAUGUUAGCAUAUCCAUUGACCAAGCCUUUGUCUAGAGAUGCAUUUGUAAGACACACUAGGUCUUAAGGCUUACUUAGACUCUGAGAUACUUUAUUUUGUUAUUUAUUUUCCCGUGUUCACAAAACUGAUGUUCUUUGAUUAUCAAUAAAAUUGAUUUACAUACAUACAUAUUUUUAUUGUCGAAUGUUAUGCACAUUAUUUGUUCAUUUUUAUAAGUAUGUCGAGUAGACAAGAGGUUGGCCUUCUCACACAGAAACCGCCUCCUUAUCNNNNNNNNNNNNNNNNNUAUNAUCUGUACAAUAUUCUUUAUGAGAUAAAGACAUACGCUCCUUGGGAAAAGGGAGAAAAUGUUGUAGCACAUGUUUCAUACCAUGUGUGCUAAUGUCGACCUAUUGGGUUAACAUAAGUCCAUUCUCAACUUAUUGUUGUGUGAGACACAGAGCUUUUAUGAUAGCUUAAGAUUUUGUACCCUUAGAGACUCCGAUUAGAUACUUGAGACUUAGUGUGAUGUUAGCUAUCUUAGUGUAUUUCCAAAAGACCACGUAUACAGAUUCGGUCUAGCGAAGCAUAUCUAGAAAAACAGUCAUAUUAAUGUUAAGGGAAUCGUGAAAAGAGGAAUAUCAUUGAUGGAAUCUUAUUUAUUUGUAUUUACUAGUGCACCAAUUAUAAUUUAUGAGUUAUGGUUGUGAAUACAAGAAAUAAUGAUAUAUGAGAUUUUGAGACUAUAUCAAAUGUGAUUUAUAUGAUCUAGGGUACUGCAUACUUUAUGAUCUACUUGCAGGUUUGCACUCGACGAGAGGCUAUAUACUCCUAACAGAUGUAUAACACUUAGGUCUCACAGUAUGCUGGUCGUACGGUUUACUUCCCUGUAUGAAGGGUUGAGGAGAUGAGUUAAGAAUAUGUUUCUCAGGCUAGAUGAGCACUCCCAUUAUGUGUAAGUGAGAGAUGUAGGAAAUAUUAGGUCCAACCAUAAGGGGUGCUCUAAGGCCCAAUAGGGUUAUUAGUUAAUCCUAAUAUUUCCUAGAUAAGUACACUUAGUGUGUAUACUAAAAUAAUACUCUAAGCAGUAUUUUUCCACGCGCUCUCUCUCUCAAUCCAAAAAAGGAUUUGGACCGUGGAAUUGGAGGUUGCUCCAACACACCGUGACAACCACCGUCGACUAGUAAUUCCAGUCGCGAUUCAACUGUUUGCUUCUGCUUCACGAAGAACAAGUAAGUUCUCAUUUUACAAUUUACGCGCUAUCUAAUGUGUUUAGAUCAUCGCGUUUUCCUUCAACUUGUGUUUUAUUUUAUCCUCAUCUGUGAAUCGUUGUUAUACUUCAGUAUUAAAUUUUUGGUAUUUCAGUAUAACGGUAUAGUCCUCGGUAUUAAGAUUUUGAUAUUUUGGUAUGUCGAAAUACCGAAAAAUACCAAAUUUUUAAAGUAUAUCCUAGUCAUACACUACCCUAGCCCAGCCUAAAAUUUUAAGUUUGCAUUUCUAGCCCAAUAAGACUAAGCCCAAGUCCCCUACUCUCUUAGUCUUUUUUCCUUGUUUCUAAUGAUAGGAAUUACAAUUAGGCUUCUCUUAAUUCUCAAGAAAGAAGUGAAGAACAGUUCAUCUGUGACUGCUAGUGUUGCGACUACAAUAGAGACGGUGUCACGAUGACUUUACGACCUCGGCGCCGACGACUCUCAAGUGUGACUAAUUGUUUCCUUAUUUUUGACCUUCAUUCUUCAAUCUUCAACAAGUUCACAACUUCUUCAUUCUUCAAUCUUCCGUUUGUAUUUUAUAAACAAUAGCUUUUAUGUGUACAAAAGGCUGUAUAAACUAUAAAGAAAUUUCGUCCCAACUUGAUAAGAAAUCAAGCCAAAUGCAGAAACUUAGUGGAAUAUUUGUUUUCUUCACUUCUCAUUUUCAUGCAUAUAACACAUUGGUAGAACUAGCAGUAAUUGUUGAGAUAUGAUUCGAAACUAAGCCAAUAGUACUAACAGACUGUAUCUCCAUCUGCAUUUUAGCAUAAUUAAAGGUUCAAUCUUUGCUGCUAAGAAAGUAACUAAUAAGGUGUAUAUCUAAACUCAACUCUAGUCUCAAUUUGUGUUUGUAUUUGUUUUAAGUUUGUAUAGAUGGAAGAUGAAGGUAGAGUAAGUGAAGCCGGUUCAACUGAAGCUUACCUAUUACUGAAGAUAGCAACACCAACACAAUUGAUACUCAAGAAUCUAAGAAAAGAAAAGCCAUAGAACCAAGAUCCGAAGUUUGGAAGCAUUUUGAUAAAUUUGAGGUAAAUGGAGUCGGUAAAGCAAGGUGUAGAUAUUGUAAGCAAGCUUAUGCUGCUAAUACAUCUAGGAAUGGAAUAACAUGAUUGAAAAAUCAUUUGACUAGAUCCAAAGAAUAUCCACCUAAAACUGAUAAAGAUAAUACUGAAACAAAGAUAAAUUUUCAAUCUUGCCAAAAUGAUGGAUGAUCGCUUUUGAAAUUUGAUCAAGAAGUGGUUAGGAGGGUUUUAAUUGAGAUGAUAGUUAUUGAUGAACUACCAUUUAGCUUUGUAGAAAAGGAAGGCUUUAUGAAGCUUAUGAGAAUAACUCAAUGUGCUGGCCCAAGAGGUCAUCACUUGUUUUUAAAAUAAAUUCUGCAUUUCGAGGCUUUAAAAACCUCUUUUAGCGUCACCUCAAUUUGUGUGCGCAGUCCGAGCGCGUGUCCGGAAAGCUUAUAUGUGAAAAUCUGUGAAAAAUGAUAAAUUUUGACUAUAAAAUGAAUUAAUUUGACUUCGGUCAACGUUUUAGAAAAACGGACCCGAACCUAUAAUUUGAUAGUCCCGGAGGGUCCGUAGAGAAAUAUGGGAUUUGGGCGUAUGCCUGGAAUCGAAUUCCAAAGUCCCAAGCCCGAGAAAUGAAUUUUUAAAGAAAAUUAUUUUUUGAAAUUGUUUAGAGGAAUUGGAAAUAAAUUUUGAUUAGAACAUGUUAGUAUCGGGCCCGUAUUUUGGUUCCGGUGCCCGGUACAGGUCUUAUAUGUGAUUUAAGGUAAUUCUGUGAAGUUUGGUAAGAAAUGGAAUCCAUUUGAUGUGAUUCGGACCUUAAAUGCAAAAUUUGAUGUUUUAAGAAGUUUUGAAAUAUUUCAUUGAUGUUGAGGUUUAAUUCGUUGUUUAAGGGGUUAAUUUGGCGAUUUGAUCGCACGGAUAAGUUCAUAUGAUGUUUUUGAGUUAGUACGUAUGUUAGGUUUGGAGCCCCGAUGGAUUGGGUAUGUUUCAGAUGAGUUUCAGAAGGUUUUUGAACUCGUAAAAGUUGCAGGUUUUUGCUGUUCAGUGCCCAGGGAUUUUUGUCUUCGCGUUCGCGUAGGCACACUCGCGAAUGCGUAAGGCAAAUCUCCUAGGUGCCAAAUUUCUUCUUCGCGAACGCGAAGCUGGUGACGCAAAUGCGAGGCUAAGGGGGGAUACCCUUCGCGAAUGCGACCUAACACAUGCGAACGCGAUGGCUUAUGAGCCUGGACAGGGGGAGGGGUAUUAUACCUACGCAAACGCGACCACCUGGACGCCAAUGCGAGGGCUCGAGGAGUUAGUGCUCCGUGAUCGCGAGCCCACUUACGCGAACGCGAAGAUCUGUCAGGCCUAACUCAUCGCGAACGCGAUAUCCCUGUCGUGAACGCGAAGACCAAAUUCACCCAGUUAUUUUAAGUUUCAAAAACAGAAUACAUUACGGGAAUUCCACCAUGUUUCAUAAACUUCAUCUUCUCCACACUUCUUGGGUGAUUUUUGAAGAGGAACUUCACCAUAUCUUCAUAGGUAUGUAAUCCUAAGCUCGUUUUCUUCCAUUUUUAUCAACACCCACUAGAUUUCUAGGCCCAAAACAUGAGAUUAAUGGUAGAAAAUUAGGGAUUUGGGUAGAGUUAGAGCUUUUUGAUUAUUUGGGAAUUUGACCUCGUUUUGGGGUCAGAAUUCAAAACAAAUUAUAUAUUCAGGCCUGUGGGUGAUCGGGUUUUGGUCCGAACCUCGUGUUUUGACCAAGCGGGCCCGGGGUCAAUUUUUGACUUUUUGGGAAGAAUGAUUAGAAAGCUAUAUUAAGCAUUGGAAUUGGAUUGUUUAGAAUUUAUUGAUGUUAUUAAGUCGAUAUGUCUAGAUAAAAUUGAUUUGGAGCCGAAUUCGAAAGAUAAGGCAGUGUUUGAGGCUUGAGUUGGUCGUGGAAGUUCGAGGUAAGUGUUUGGUCUAACCUUAAAUUGAGGGAUUAGGAGUUGUGUCCUAUUUGCUUCUUGUUGAGUACGACGUAUAGGAAUGGCAACGAGUAUCUAUACGUUGGUGUCGAGCAUGACCGUGAGUCUUAAAUUACAAUUUGUUGUGUUCUUAAAUGAUACUACGGAUGCUUUAAUUGAUGAUUCUCGAUAUUGAUCAAGGAUUAAGUUUGUUUUUGUGGAAAUUACUUAUGAUUGAGUAUUGAUGUUAGCCGAGAUGAGUAGAAGUUGGGUUAAGAUUGGUUAUAGCUGUCUCUCCCUUGCCGGGACGUAUUUACUUUUACUGUCGACUCCCUUGCCGGGAUAGUGUAGUUUAUUGUUAAUCCCUUGCCGGGACUCUUGGUAUGGUUGUUGCUAAAGGUAUAUAAAUAUAUUGAUCGGGUUGCACGCUGCAACAAUGCUAUAUAUGGAACGGGUUGUGUAGACAUGUGAUUUUUGACUCUCCCCAAGAUUUUUCACAUUUUAGCAUGUAAAUAUUUAGUUUAGGCCUAAUAUCUCUAGAUUUUGACUCUUUUACUUUAUUUCGUCACAAAAAACAAAAAUUUCAAAAAUAUUUUAGUUUACGUAUCUUUUGUAAAUUUAAAUAAAAAAUAUACAAAAAUAGUACCUUAUCUUUAUUUUUAUAUAAUCUUGAAAAUACAAAAAUAGUCACAAUUUUACAUAGUAAUUGUGUUCUUGUUCUCGAAAGAAAGGAAAAGGUUCCAAAAUAUAUUUUUAACGCGUCUACUCUAUCCUUUUCAAGUUAAGGAUUUUAAUAAUUGAAUUUUCAGCAGUUAAUAUUUUUUUUUAUCUUUCUAUAUUAAUAAAGUAGGAGUAGUAUUUUAUUUUAUUAACCAAAAAUAUAGAAAGAAAAGAAAAUCAAAAAAAAGGAGUCAAUCACAUUGGGCCAUGUGGUAAAGAUUCUCCAUUAUCCACUCCCUAACAAACUCACGUGCACCCCCAUUUUUUGAUCCCACUAACGUUUUGGCUAAGAAAAACUGAAAAAUUCCUUUUGUGGGGACCACAAUUCCUAUCUUCUUUUCUUUCUAAAAUAUACACACACGCUAAUAUAUAGAGGAGAGGGCUGGAACGAAAAGAACAAGGAAAAGGGGUUGGGAUUAAAACACAAAAAUAGAGAGGUUUUGGAAAAGAACGAAAACAAAAAACAGUGAGGGGGAAAAAGAGAGGAGAACGGAAAAAGCCUUGUGCCUGAGACUUUUCAAAUAGCUAAAAAAACUUCCCUUCUUCUCCAGAAACUCAUCAUCAUCAUUUUUCCUUUCAAAAAAAUAUCAUGUAGAGCCAUGACUAAGCUUUAUUAGCUUCACAAAAGCAUGGCCAUGGGCUGAUCUUCUUCUUCCUAACACAAAGAAAAACCAUUGAUAACACCCAUUUCCCACCAUUAAAGGGACCUUAAAACUCCAUAAUCCAACAACAAACCCACCGACAAACUCCAAAAAGAAAGCAGUCAGUCAGUUUUUUUUGAGUUUUCAGCGUUCUCUAGGUCGAGUCGGAUUCGAGUUCGUCGGUGAGAUUCGAGUUUCUCCGGCGAGAUUCGCUCAGUCUUCCACCUGUCAAAGUACUAGCGUUGGUUUCCGGUUCGAGUCCCGUUCGCGGUCCCGCGUUGAGUUCGCGAGCUCUGACUGUUUUCUGGUUGGAAAUCCAUGUGUGCUUCUAAAAGCUUCAAUGAAAAUCCGACUACGCUAUUCUAAGGUUCAACUAUUCAUUCCUUUGUUCGUUUUGUGCUUAUUUAACUUUAUGAGUUGUUUUGAUAGAAUGGCUCUUGCUUCGUAAUCUAUCAUUGGUCUUAGUUUUAUUUCUUUUAUCACUGUUCAAAUUUACAUGGAUUCUGCCUUGUUUUGAGCAAAUUAAUUAAGAAAGAUAUGUAUGUUAUCAUCUAUUAGCUAAAUAACUAGAAUGAUUGGUUCAUACUAGAUAAUGAAAACAAUGGGACGUUUGGGUGUUGCUGGGCAUCAUAGAAAAAGUGAUGGUUUAAAUCUAGGUUUAAUUGAAUGUGUACAGCAAAAGAGUAUUGGAUUUUGGUUUAUAUUAAAAGGGAGUUUGGAAAGUAGUGAGGAGAAAAUGGGGAAUCUUUAAUUGUAGGGAUAGGCAUAUGGUUUGGCCGUUGUCUAUAUUUUUCACGAGCCAUUAUUGUUGUGUGUACUGGAGUACUUUAACUAAAAGGUUUAUUAUGGUCCAUGCUUGAUCAUAACCCUUGGUAGAUUACAAUAAUCGGUUCAUCACUUUAACUUAAAUGAACUAUCGUGAUUGUGGGUAUGGUUCACGUGACAUAGUUAUGAUGCCUAAUUUUCAAAUUCGGGUGCGCAUUUAUGUGACCCAAAUCCAAAUCUCAACAAUGUUAGAUAAAAUAUGUCAAGAGCCGCGGGUUCAUUUAUGUGACAUGGUUCGAGGUGUAUUUUAAAUGACGUUGCAAUUUUCCUAAAAUUCAUUAAAAGCGGUUAAUGAUUUAAAAUUAUACCAUAGGCUAAAACAUGUAUUAAAAUCAGAUAAUAGGCCAAUUAUAACAGUUGAGCGACCGUGCUAGAACCACGGAACUUGGGAAUGCCUAACACCUUCUCCCGGGUUAACAGAAUUCCUUACCCAGAUUUCUGUGUUCGCAGACUGUAAUAUAGAGUCAAUAUUUCCUCGAUUCGGGAUUUGAACCGGUGACUUGGGACAACAUAAAUUAUCCCAAGUGGCGACUCUAAAUUUUUAAUAAAAUGAUCCCAUUUUGAUUGUCACUUAAAGUGGAAAAACUCCCAUAUACAUCCUUUCCGGGGGUGUAGGUAAAAAGGAGGUAUGACAGGUUACACACCGCAACAAUGUUAUAUUGGAUCGAGUUGCACGUCGCAAUAGUGAUAUAAAUGGAUCGAGUUGCAUGCCGCAAUAGUGUUAAAUAAUAGGGAUCGGGUUGCACGCCGCAACAUUGUUAUUAUUAUUUUGUUGUAGAUAUUGAAUUGUUCCCUCAUAUUCCUCUUAAGUUUCGGCUGGAUUUGAUAUUUCCCUCGUAGCAUGUACCCCCUCCCACGUUAAUUGUUUAUUCUUGUUUAUUUUCUGCUAUAUAUUAUAUAACUACAUAGGUUUAUGUGGAGUCUGGUCCUAGCCUUGUCACUACCUCGCCGCGAUUAGGCCAGACACUUACCAGCAUAUGAGGUCGAUUGUGCUGAUGCUACACUUUGCACUAUGUGCAGAUUUCGGAGCAGCUUUUGGAUCGUAACACUUAGGAAGCCUGCCUUCAGUCCAGCCAGAGAUCCCGAGGUAGUCCUACAGGCGUUCGUAGGCUCGAUGUUCUCUUCUACUUUAUUAUGUACUCUGUUUUCAUUAGAUUUCGAGACAGAUUGUAUUUCUUUCAGAUGUUUGUAUGUAGUACUCAUAGACAAUUCGUGUAUAUUGUGACACCAGAUUCCGGGUAAAGGAGUAUAUUGGCAUUAUAGUACUGGCUUGGUUAUUUUUAGUUGUUUAAGUCUUCCGCUUGUGCCGUUUAUCAUUAAUAUUUAAAUGUUGAUUACCUGUUAAUUCAAAUUGUAAAAAGGAUUAAAAUGGAAGAGUUAGAAAUUUCUAUAUUUAGUGGCUUACCUAGCUUCUACGAGUAGGCACCAUCACGACUCCCGAUGGUGAGAAAUACGUGUCGUGACAAGUUGGUAUUAGAGAUCUAGGUUACAUAGGUCUCACAAUUCACAGACAAGCUUAGUAGAGUCUGAGGGAUCGGUACAGAGAUGUCUACAUUUGUCCCCCAGAGGCUACAGAGUUAGGAAAAAUUUCACAUUUGUUCCUUCUUGUCGUGCAGUUUGGUUUCUCAAUGCUAAUUGAAUUUCUACUCUUUUCUUUCGCUGAUGGCGAGAACACGCACUUCCUCAUCCACCGAUCAGCAGCCCGAGCCCCUAACAGCAGCUCCCACGAGGGACAAAGGACGAGGGCGAGUCCGUGCUAGAGGUCGAGGCAGGGGCAGAGCUCAGCCCAGGGCAGCAGCACCCACAUCGGAGCCUCAGGUUGACUUUGAUGAUGAGGUUCCAGCCCCAGCAAUUCCGGUAGGCCCAGCUCAGGUCCCAGAGGGGUUUAUUGCUACCCCAGUACUUCAGGAUGCUCUGGUUCAUCUAGUGGGCCUUAUGCAGAGUGUCACCCGAGCAGGCUUGCUUCCUGUAGCACCAACCGUCUCUCAGGCUGGAGGAGGAGCCCAGACUCCUGCUACUCGCACUCCGGAGUAGAUGACUCCCUAGUUUCAGACUCUAGUGGCUCAGCUAGUUGGAGCAGUUCAGCGGGGUGUGGUAGCUCAGACCGGCGAUGGAGCAGCCAUGUCUGUCGAUGCUUUGUGGAGAUUGGGCAGGUUCACCAAGCUCUUCACUACUACUUUCAGCGAUGCUUCUUUUGAGGAUCCUAGGAUUAUCUAGAUAGUUGUUAUGAGGUUCUCAUGAACAUGGGGAUAGUUGAGACCAAUGGGGUCGAUUUUGCUACUUUUCGCUUGUCUGGAUCCGCCAAGAUUUGGUGGACGGAUUUCUGUUUGGCUAGACCAGCCGGAUCGCCAGCUUUGACUUGGGAGCAAUUUACUCAGCUAUUUCCGGAGAAGUUUCUUCCCAUCACUCAAAGAGAGGCCUAUUGGAGGCAGUUUGAGCGUCUCUAGUAGGGUUCUAUGACUGUUACCCAAUAUGAGACCAGAUUCAUCGACUUGGCUCGCCAUGCUCUUGUCAUACUUCCCACCGAGAGAAAGAGGUGAGGAGGUUCAUUAAUGGACUUAUUCAGCCGAUUCGUCUUCAGAUGGCUAGGGAGACUGGGAGUGAGAUUACUUUCUAGGAGGCGGCCACUGUGGCCAGGAGAGUGGAGAUGGUUCUGUCGUAGGGAGGUGGUCAUGGGUCAGACAAGAGGCCUCGUCAUUCAAGCAGAUUCAGUGGUGCCUCGUUUGGAGGUAGGGAUUCGUAUGGUAGAGGCCAUCCUCCUAGGCCCUUUCAGUCAGCACUUCAGGUUUCUCACGGUCCUUCAGGUGGCCGUGGUUCUCACAUGCAAUAUUCUGAUCAACAACCCUACAGUGCACCCCUAGCUCCUAUCAGUGCACCGCCGCUCCAGAGUUUUUGGGGUGGUCAUUCAGGUCGCCAGGGUCAACCUCAGUUUCCUCAGUCACAACACUCAGGUAGAUGUUUUGAGUGUGGUGAGUAUGGUCAUAUCAGGAGGGCUUGUAUGAGAUUGGUGGGGUACUUAGUCGCAGCAGCAGGGUUCAUGUGCUAUGGUUCAGGCACCAGGUGUUCCAUAGAUCGCCCAACCAACUAGAGGUGGGGGUAGAGGUGCUAGAGGUAGAGGUAGAGGUGCUAGAGGUGGAGCUCCGACCACUAGAGGUGGAGGUCGGCCAGAUACAGGCCAUCCCAGAGAGGUAGUCCAGGGUGGUGGGGCCUAGCCUCGAUGUUAUGCUCUUCCAGCCAGGCUUGAGGCUGAGGCUUCCGAUGCAGUUAUCACAGGUACUAUUCUGGUUUGUGGCAGAGAUACUUCCGUUUUAUUUGAUCUAGGGUCUACGUACUCCUAUGUGUCAUCUUAUUUUGCUUCAUAUCUGGUUAUGCCUAGUGUUCCUUGAGUGCCCUUGUAUAUGUGUCUACACCGGUAGGUGAUUCUAUUGUGGUAGAUCGAGUCCAUCGCUCUUGUAUAGUCUUAAUUGGGGGUCUUGAGACUCGUGUAGAUUUGUUGCUUCUAUACAUGGUUGAUUUCGAUGUUAUAUUGGGGAUGGACUAGUUAUCACCUUACCACGCUAUCUUGGACUGUCAUGCCAAGACUGUGACCUUAGCCUUGCCGAGUUUACCCCAUUUGGAGUGGAGAGGGACGCUUGAUCAUUCUACCUGUAGUGUUAUCUCUUAUAUAAAGGCUCGGCGUAUGGUCGAGAAGGGGUGUUUGGCCUAUUUGGCAUAUGUUUGUGAUUCUAGUGCUGAGGUUGCUUCUAUUGAUUCUGUGCCUGUUGUUCGUAAGUUUCCUGAGGUAUUCCCUUCAAAACUGCCGGGUAUGCUACCCGACAGGGAUAUUGAUUUUUGCAUUGAUUUGGAUCUAGGCACUCAGCCCAUUUCUAUCCCGCUGUAUCGUAUGGCCCCGCCUAAGUUGAAAGAGUUGAAGGAGCAGUUCAAGACUUGCUUGAGAAGGAUUUCAUUAGACCCAGUGUUUCGCCUUGGGGUGCACCGGUGUUGUUUGUUUAGAAGAAGGAUGGGUCAAUGAGGAUGUGUAUUGAUUACGCAGUUGAACAAGGUUACAAUCAAGAAUAAAUAUCCAUUGUCGAGGAUAGAUGAUUUGUUUGAUCAGCUCCAGGGUGCCAAGGUAUUUUUGAAGAUUUACUUGAGAUCUGACUACCAUCAGUUGAGGAUUAGGGCAUCCAAUGUCCCUAAGACAACUUUCUGCACUCGGUACGAGCAUUAUGAGUUCUUGGUGAUGUCAUUCAGGUUGACAAAUGCCCCAGCAACUUUUAUGGAUUUGAUGAACCGAGUGUUCAGGCCUUAUUUAGACUCAUUUGUGAUAGUCUUUAUUGAUGAUAUUUUAAUAUAUUCCCACAACCGGGAGGAGCACGAGCAACAUCUCAGAGUGGUUCUUCAGACUCUGAGGGAUAGUCAGUUAUAUGCUAAGUUCUCGAAGUGUGAGUUCUGGUGGAGUUCAGUUGCAUUCCUGGGUCAUGUUGUAUCGGCAGAGGGUAGUCAAGUUGAUCCGAAGAAGAUUAAGGCAGUCAAGAACUAGCCUACACCAUCAUCAGCUAUAGAGAAUCAGAGUUUCUUGGGAUUGGUAAGCUACUAUCAUCGGUUCGUGGAGGGGUUCUCAUUUAUCGCAGACCCGAUGACCAAGUUGACUCAGAAGGGUGCCCAAUUCAGAUAGCCGGACGAGUGUGAGGUGAGCUUUCAGAAGCUCAAGACAGCUCUGACUACGGCACCGGUGUUGGUUUUGCCCACAGGUUCAGGGCCUUAUACAGUUUAUUGUGAUGCAUCUCAUAUUAGUCUUGGUGCAGUAUUGAUGUAGGAUGGCAAGGUCAUUGCCUAUGCUUCGCGGUAGUUGAAGAUUCAUGAGAAGAACUACCUAGUUCAUGAUUUGGAGUUGACAGCCAUUAUUCAUGCAUUAAAGAUUUGGAGGCAUUAUCUGUAUGGCGUGGCAUGUGAGGUAUUCACGGAUCACAAGAGUCUUCAGUAUUUGUUCAAGCAAAAGGAGUUGAAUUUGAGGCAGAGGAGGUGGUUGGAGUUGUUGAAAGACUAUGAUAUCACCAUUUUAUAUCAUCCGGGAAAGGCCAAUGUGGUGGCCGAUGCUUUGAGUAGGAAGUCAGCCAGUAUGGGCAGUCUUGCUUAUAUUCCGAUCGGUGAGAGACCACUUGCUUUGGAUGUUCAGGCUUUGGCCAAUCAGUUCAUGAGGUAGGAUGUUUUUUNNNNNNNNNNNNNNNNNNNNNNNNNNNNNNNNNNNNNNNNNNNNNNNNNNNNNNNNNNNNNNNNNNNNNNNNNNNNNNNNNNNNNNNNNNNNNNNNNNNNNNNNNNNNNNNNNNNNNNNNNNNNNNNNNNNNNNNNNNNNNNNNNNNNNNNNNNNNNNNNNNNNNNNNNNNNNNNNNNNNNNNNNNNNNNNNNNNNNNNNNNNNNNNNNNNNNNNNNNNNNNNNNNNNNNNNNNNNNNNNNNNNNNNNNNNNNNNNNNNNNNNNNNNNNNNNNNNNNNNNNNNNNNNNNNNNNNNNNNNNNNNNNNNNNNNNNNNNNNNNNNNNNNNNNNNNNNNNNNNNNNNNNNNNNNNNNNNNNNNNNNNNNNNNNNNNNNNNNNNNNNNNNNNNNNNNNNNNNNNNNNNNNNNCAAGCAGGCUACCUUAGGUGAUGAUGGAGUUUUGAGAUUGUAGGGUCGAGUUUGUGUGCCUAAUGUGGAUGGACUCCGAGAUUUUAGAGGAGGCCCAUAGCUCUCGGUACUCUAUUCAUUCGGGCACAGCGAAGAUGUAUCAGGAUUUAUGGCAGCAUUAUUGGUGGCAGAGAAUGAAGAAGGAUAUCGUUGCAUAUGUGGCUCGGUGUUUGAAUUGUCAGUAGGUUAAGUACGAGCACCAGAGGCCUGGUGGUUAGUUCCAGAAGAUUGAGAUUCUUGAAUGGAAGUGGGAGCGUAUCACUAUGGACUUCAUUGUUGGACUCCCAUGGACUCAGAGGAAGUUCGAUGCAGUGUAGGUUAUUGUUGAUAGGCUGACCAAGUCAGUGCAUUUCAUUCAAAUGGCCGUCUCCUAUUCUUCUGAGAGGUUGGCUGAGAUCUAUAUUUGGGAGAUUGUUCGUCUUCAUGGUGUGCGCAAGUCUAUUAUUUCGAACCGAGGUACGCAGUUUAUCUCACAUUUUUGGAGAGCAGUUCAACGAGAGCUGGGCAUAUGGGUUUAGUUGAGCACAACAUUUCCUCCUCAGACGGACGGGCAGUCCGAGCGGACUAUUCAGAUUUUGGAGGAUAUGCUCCGCGCUUGUGUCAUUGACUUUGGAGGCUCGUGGGAUCAGUUUUUACCUUUAUAGAGUUUGCCUACAACAACAUGUACCAGUCGAGUAUCCAGAUGGCUCCUAUGAGACUUUAUAUGGUAGGCAGUAUUUGUCUCCAGUUGGAUGGUUUGAGCUGGGAGAGGCUCGGUUACUAGGUACGGAUCUGGUUCAACAUGCCUUGGACAAGGUCAGGAUUAUUCAGGAUAGGCUUCAUAUAGCUCAGUCCAGGCAAAAGAGUUAUGCUGACCGCAAGGUUCGAGAUGUGGCAUUCAUGGUCGGUGAGCGGGUAUUGCUUCGAGUGUCGCCUAUGAAGGGCGUGAUGAGAUUUGGGAAGAAGGGCAAGCUUAGCCCUAGGUUCAUUGGCCCGUUUGAGAUUCUCGAUCGAGUUGGAGAGGUGGCUUAUAGAAUUGCAUUACUACCGAGCUUAUCAGUCGCGUAUCCAGUGUUUCAUGUGUCCAUGCUUCAGAAGUAUCAAGACGAUCCAUCCCACGUGUUAGAUUUCAGCACUGUCCAGUUGGACAACGACUUGUCUUAUGAGGAGGAGCCGGUAGCUAUUCUAGACCGGCAGAUUCAUCAGUUGAGAUCGAAGAGUUUUCCUUCUGUUCAUGUUCAGUGGAGAGGUCAUGCUCCUGAGGCAUCGACCUGGGAGUUCGAGUACGAUAUGCAGAGCCGUUAUCCCCAUCUUUUCCCCAACUUAGGUACUUCCUUCUUCUUCCUACUUCAUUUUAAAAUUAUUUUUAAAAUGAAUUUUGUGUUUUGAGGCUUUAAAAACCUCCUUUAGCAUCACCUUGAUUUGCGUGCACAGUUUGGGUGCAUGGUCGGAAAGCUUAUAUGUGAAAAUCUAUGAAAAGAUGAUAAAUUUUGACUAUAAAAUGAAUUAAUUUGACUUCGGUCAAUGUUUUGGAUAAACGAACCCGGACCCGUAAUUUGACAGUCUUGGCGUAUGUCCGGAAUCAAAUUCCGAGGUCCCAAGCCCGAGAAAUAAAUUUUUAAAAUAAAUUAUUUUCUGAAAUUGUUUAAAGGAAUUGGAAAUGAAUUUUGAUUAGAACAUAUUGGUAUCGGGCUCGUAUUUUGGUUCCGGUGCCCGGUAUAGGUCUUAUAUGUGAUUUAAGGUAAUUCUGUGAAGUUUGGUAAGAAACGGAAUUCGUUUGACGUGAUUUGGAUCUUAAAUGCAAAAUUUGAUGUUUUAAGAAGUUUUGAAACAUUUCAUUGAUUUUGAGGUUUAAUUCUUUGUUUAAGGGGUUAAUUUGGCGAUUUGAUCGCACAGAUAAGUUCAUAUGAUGUUUUUGAGUUAAUAUAUAUGUUUGGUUUGGAGCCCUGAGGACUCGGGUGUGUUUCGGAAGGUUUUUGAAAAAGUUGCAGGUUUUUGCUGUUCAGUGCCCAGGGAUUUUUCUCUUCGAGUUCGCAUGGGCACACUCAUGAACGUGUAAGGAAAAUCUCCCAGGUGACAAAUAUCUUCUUCGUGAACGCGAAGUUGGUGAUGCGAACGCGCGGCUAAGGGGGGGUACCCUUCGCGAACGCGAUGGCUUAUGAGCCUGGACAGGGGGAGGGGUAUUAUACCUACACGAACGCGACCACCUGGACGCAAACGCGAGGGCUCGAGGAGUUAGUGCUCCGCGAUCGCGAGCCCACUUACGCGAAUGUGAAGGUCUGCCAGGCCUAACUCAUCGCGAACGCGAUAUCCCUGUCGCGAACGCGAAGACCAAAUUCACCCAGUUAUUUUAAGUUUCAAAAAUAGAAUACAUUACGAGAAUUCCACCAUUUUUCAUAAACUUCAUCUUCUCCACACUUCUUGGGCGAUUUUUGAAGAGGAACUUUACUAUAUCUUCAUAGGUAUGUAAUCCUAAGCUCGUUUUCUUUCAUUUUUAUCAACACCCACUAGAUUUCUAGGCUCAAAACAUGAGAUUAAGGGUAGAAAAUUAAGGACUAGAGUUAGGGCUUUUUGAUUAUUUGGAAAUUUGACCUCGUUUUGGGUUCAAAAUUCAAAAUAAAUUAUAUAUUGGGGAUCGUGGGUGAAUGGGUGAUCGGGUUUUGGUCCGAACCUCGUGUUUUGACAAAGCGGGCCUGGGGUCAAUUUUUGACUUUUUGGGAAGAAUGAUUAAAAAGCUAUAAUUAAGCAUUGGAAUUGGAUUGUUUAGCGUUUAUUGAUGUUAUUAAGUCGAUUAUGUCUAGAUACAAUUAAUUUAGAGCCGAAUUCGAAAGGAAAGGCGGUGUUUGAGGCUUGAGUUGGCCGUGGAAGUUCGAGGUAAGUGUUUGGUCUAACCUUAGCUUGAGGGAUUAGGAGUUGUGUCCUAUUUGCUAUUUGCUUCUUGUUGAGUACGACGUAUAGGCAUGGUGACGAGUAUCUAUACGUUGGUGUCGAGCAUGACCGUGAGUCUUAAAUUACAAUUUGUUGUGUUCUUAAAUGAUACUACGGGUGCUUUAAUUGAUGAUUCUCGAUAUUGAGCAAGGAUUAAUUUUGUUUUCGUGGAAAUUACUUAUGAUUGAGUAUUGAUGUUAGCUAAGAUGAGUAGAAGUUGGGUUAAGAUUGGUUAUAGUUGUCUCUCCCUUGCGGGGACGUAUUUACUUUUAUUGUCGAAUCCCUUGCCGGGACUCUUGGUAUGGUUGUCGCUAAAGGUAUAUAAAUAUAUGGAUCGGGUUGCACGCCGCAACAAUGCUAUAUAUGGAAUGGGUUGCGCGCCGCAACAAUGUUAUAUUGGAUCGGGUUGCACGUCGCAACAGUGAUAUAAAUGGAUCGGGUUGCACGCCUCAACAGUGUUAAAUGAUAUGGAUUGGGCUGCACGCCACAGCAGUGAUAUAAAUAGAUCGAGUUGCACGCUGCAACAGUGUUAAAUAAUAUGUAUCGUGUUGCAUGCCGCAAUAGUUUUAAAUGAUAGGGAUCAGGUAGCACGCCGUAACAGUGUUAUUAUUGUUUUGUUGUAGAUCUUGAAUUGUUCCCUCAUAUUCCUCUUAAGUUUCUGCUGGAUUUGAUAUUUCCCCCGUAGCAUAUACCCCCUCUUACGUUAAUUAUUUAUUCCUGUUUAUUUUUCGCUGUAUAUUAUACAACUGCACAGGUUUAUCUGGAGUCUGGUCCUAGCCUUGUCACUACCUCGCCGGGGUUAGGCCAGGCACUUACCAGCACAUGUAGUCGGUUGUACUGAUGCUACACUCUGCACUAUGUGCAGAUUCUGGAGCAGCUUUUGGAUCAUAGCACUUGGGGAGCCUGCCUUCAGUCCAGCCAGAGAUCCUGAGGUAGUCCUGCAGGCGUCCGCAAGCCCGACAUUCUCUUCUACUUUAUUAUGUACUCUGUUUUCAUUUAGAUUUCGAGACAGAUUGUAUUUCUUUCAGAUGUUUGUAUGUAGUACUCAUAGACAGUCCGUGAAUAUUGUGACACCAGAUUCCGGGUAGAGAAGUAUAUUGGCAUUGUAGUA